UCGCAAUUGACAUGUCGUCUGUCUUGUUUUCGAUAGCCGACAUCAAGAAUUGAAGAAUUAAAAAAAAAAAAGAAAAAGAAACAAAAAACUAAAUUACAACAUGCGAUCAAAAUCAAAAGCAAGAAAACUCGAGAACGGUUUGAUGGAUUUAUUACAACUUUAUGGAGACAGAGAAACGACGAGUGUUAUGUCGUAUAUACUUGAGGAAUCAUGAAAAUGAAAGUUUGGAUCAUCUUAUGCAACGGCUGUAGAGCAGCUGUCAGAAGCAAAUAUCUCCCACCACCCUUUAUUGUCUGCUUAAUCCCGACUAUCAUUUGGUCCUACAGUGGUUGGCCAAGUCAAAAGUGUUUAGAAGUUUUAAAAUGAGUAGAAAUAAAAGUGCAUGUUUAGGUACAGGUUAACUUGA